UAAAUUGAGAGUUUGAUCCUGGCUCAGGAUGAACGCUGGCGGCGUGCCUAAUACAUGCAAGUCGAACGAAACUUCUUUAUCACCGAGUGCUUGCACUCACCGAUACAGAGUUGAGUGGCGAACGGGUGAGUAACACGUGGGCAACCUGCCCAAAAGAGGGGGAUAACACUUGGAAACAGGUGCUAAUACCGCAUAACCAUAGUUACCGCAUGGUAACUAUGUAAAAGGUGGCUAUACUACCGCUUUUGGAUGGGCCCGCGGCGCAUUAGCUAGUUGGUAGGGUAAAGGCUUACCAAGGCAAUGAUGCGUAGCCGAAUUGAGAGGUUGAUCGGCCACAUUGGGACUGAGACACGGCCCAAACUCCUACGGGAGGCAGCAGUAGGGAAUCUUCCACAAUGGGCGAAAGCCUGAUGGAGCAACGCCGCGUGGGUGAAGAAGGUCUUCGGAUCGUAAAACCCUGUUGUUAGAGAAGAAAGUGCGUGAGAGUAACUGUUCACGUUUCGACGGU
rnacentral:rRNA from 1 species